rnacentral:rRNA from 1 species
GAUGAACGCUGGCGGCGUGCCUAAUACAUGCAAGUCGAGCGAAUGGAUUGAGAGCUUGCUCUUAUGAAGUUAGCGGCGGACGGGUGAGUAACACGUGGGUAACCUGCCCAUAAGACUGGGAUAACUCCGGGAAACCGGGGCUAAUACCGGAUAACAUUUUGAACCGCAUGGUUCGAAAUUGAAAGGCGGCUUCGGCUGUCACUUAUGGAUGGACCCGCGUCGCAUUAGCUAGUUGGUGAGGUAACGGCUCACCAAGGCAACGAUGCGUAGCCGACCUGAGAGGGUGAUCGGCCACAGUGGGACUGAGACACGGCCCGGACUCCUACGGGAGGCAGCAGUAGGGAAUCUUCCGAAAUGGACGAAAGUCUGACGGGGCAACGCCGCGUGAGUGAUGAAGGCUUUCGGGUCGUAAAACUCUGUUGUUAGGGAAGAACAAGUGCUAGUUGAAUAAGCUGGCACCUUGACGGUACCUAACCAGAAAGCCACGGCUAACUACGUGCCAGCCGCCGCGGUAA